rnacentral:misc_RNA from 1 species
UCCUGGCAUUUCGCACCA